UACGUAGGCAGCGAGCGUUGUUCGGAGUUACUGGGCGUAAAGAGUGCGUAGGCGGUUGACUAAGUUUGGUGUGAAAUCUCCCGGCUCAACUGGGAGGGUGCGCCGAAAACUGGUUGGCUGGAGUGUGGGAGAGGUCAGCGGAAUUCCUGGUGUAGCGGUGAAAUGCGUAGAUAUGUGGAGGAACACCAGUGGCGAAGGCGGCUUUCUGGCCUGUAACUGACGCUGAGGCGCGAAAGCGUGGGGAGCAAACAGG
rnacentral:rRNA from 1 species